rnacentral:lncRNA from 1 species
GCUGCUUCUGUGAUAUCUGCAUUUGAGUUUCCAUUUAUUGAGAAAAACAUAAUAACAAGAAGCUUCAGUAAAGCUUUUAAAUAAUUGGUAACUUAUAAAUAUUACAGCAGUAUCUGUAGAUAUUUGAGAAGUUGCAGGAGACUUUUUAGUUGAUGUGGGGACCAUGCCGUGUGCUGCCCACACAUGUUAUACACUUCCCAGAAUGGUGAAGUCUUGAGGCUUGAUUGUCAAGGACCUGAGAGUUGCUGCCAGUUCUCUCUUAGCCUUGCUAACAUCAGAAGCUGUGCCUGUCCAUUCAUUCCAUGUUUACGAAUACCUCCACACCAGGUAGUGUGCCACAAAGAUUCCAGGAAUACCACCCAUAUGGAGAAACAGGAUCUCUCUUCUCUAGAAGAGCGUAGGGUGUAGUUAGAGGGAGUCAGUCAUGUAAACAAAUAUGUCCUGGUGUGCUUCUAGUGACCUGAUGGAAUUCGGUAUCUGAGAUGGAGAGAGGUAGGAAGUAGGUGGGCAUCAGGAAAGCCAUCUUAGAGAAAGUAGCCCUUGAUUAUCAGCCAGGUAGAUGGACGGGUGAUUUAAGAUUUGUCUCAAAUUUGACAUUAUGCUUCACAGAGCAGUAAAGUGAAACCUGUUCAUUCCUACACAUUGUUGGUAGGAGAAUAAAAUGGCACAGCCUCUUUAGAGAGCAAUCUGGCAGCAUCUGUGAAAAUUUAAAUCACGAAUCCUUCUUGCAUUUGUGCUAAACAGACACUGGGAAGACAUUGUGUGUCAGACAAAUGCCAAGUAUAGAAUAGCAUGACCUAGCUCCUCCAAUCCUGUUUGUUUAUCCAACACACACAAAACACACACACAACACACACACACACCAUUAUUAUAACAUCAAAAUAUGGGAAUAAACUAAAUAUCCAUCAGUGGAAGAACAGUUAAAUAUAUGAUGCAUACAGGUGAUGUAAAGCUAAUAAAAGAAGCAGCCGUCUCCACUGUGCUAAGGAGGAGCAGUCCCCAGGAUGUAUUGAGUGAAAACAUCAAGGAGGAGGUCAGUUCCUACUACUUGCUCUCCUUCAUGCUUCAGAAAGCAGAGUGGGGCAGGAACCAGAUACUCCCUCCCCAGAAGGCUGCACCAGCAGUAGGUCACAGUGGUAGCUCUGCCAUGACACUAAGGGACAGGCAUGUUCUGAUCGAAUUUUUUUUUAACAUGUAGUUUAUUAUCUAUUCAAUUUUUUUUUUUAAUGUGUAAUUUUUUAAUUAAAAAUUU